rnacentral:piRNA from 1 species
UGCCACUGUGGAGCAAACACAGCUGUGGGC